GACGAACGCUGUCGGCGUGCUUAACACAUGCAAGUCGAACGGAAAGGCCCUGCUUUUGUGGGGUGCUCGAGUGGCGAACGGGUGAGUAACACGUGAGUAACCUGCCCUUGACUUUGGGAUAACUUCAGGAAACUGGGGCUAAUACCGGAUAGGAGCUCCUGCUGCAUGGUGGGGGUUGGAAAGUUUCGGCGGUUGGGGAUGGACUCGCGGCUUAUCAGCUUGUUGGUGGGGUAGUGGCUUACCAAGGCUUUGACGGGUAGCCGGCCUGAGAGGGUGACCGGCCACAUUGGGACUGAGAUACGGCCCAGACUCCUACGGGAGGCAGCAGUGGGGAAUAUUGCACAAUGGGCGGAAGCCUGAUGCAGCAACGCCGCGUGCGGGAUGACGGCCUUCGGGUUGUAAACCGCUUUCGCCUGUGACGAAGCGUGAGUGACGGUAAUGGGUAAAGAAGCACCGGCUAACUACGUGCCAGCAGCUGCGGUGAUACGUAGGGUGCGAGCGUUGUCCGGAUUUAUUGGGCGUAAAGGGCUCGUAGGUGGUUGAUCGCGUCGGAAGUGUAAUCUUGGGGCUUAACCCUGAGCGUGCUUUCGAUACGGGUUGACUUGAGGAAGGUAGGGGAGAAUGGAAUUCCUGGUGGAGCGGUGGAAUGCGCAGAUAUCAGGAGGAACACCAGUGGCGAAGGCGGUUCUCUGGGCCUUUCCUGACGCUGAGGAGCGAAAGCGUGGGGAGCGAACAGGCUUAGAUACCCUGGUAGUCCACGCUGUAAACGGUGGGUACUAGGUGUGGGGUCCAUUCCACGGGUUCCGUGCCGUAGCUAACGCUUUAAGUACCCCGCCUGGGGAGUACGGCCGCAAGGCUAAAACUCGAAGGAAUUGACGGGGCCCCGCACAAGCGGCGGAGCAUGCGGAUUAAUUCGAUGCAACGCGUAGAACCUUACCUGGGUUUGACAUGGAUCGGGAGUGCUCAGAGAUGGGUGUGCCUCUUUUGGGGUCGGUUCACAGGUGGUGCAUGGCUGUCGUCAGCUCGUGUCGUGAGAUGUUGGGUUAAGUCCCGCAACGAGCGCAACCCUUGUUCACUGUUGCCAGCACGUUAUGGUGGGGACUCAGUGGAGACCGCCGGGGUCAACUCGGAUGAAGGUGGGGAUGACGUCAAGUCAUCAUGCCCCUUAUGUCCAGGGCUUCACGCAUGCUACAAUGGCUGGUACAGAGAGUGGCGAGCCUGUGAGGGUGAGCGAAUCUCGGAAAGCCGGUCUCAGUUCGGAUUGGGGUUUGCAACUCGACCUCAUGAAGUCGGAGUCGCUAGUAAUCGCAGAUCAGCAACGCUGCGGUGAAUACGUUCCCGGGGCU
rnacentral:rRNA from 1 species